rnacentral:rRNA from 1 species
CGCAGCGCCUAUAGUACGUUGAUUGCAACAGUUCCUAAUGGAUCACUGAAAAUAAGCAACGUUGAGUGUGAUUAGUAUCCGGAUGGUUGACCAUUGAUUCAAACUAGUGCUGGUU